rnacentral:rRNA from 1 species
UACGUAGGGGGCAAGCGUUGUCCGGAAUUACUGGGCGUAAAGCGCACGUAGGCGGAUAUUUAAGUCAGGGGUGAAAUCCCAGAGCUCAACUCUGGAACUGCCUUUGAUACUGGGUAUCUUGAGUAUGGAAGAGGUAAGUGGAAUUGCGAGUGUAGAGGUGAAAUUCGUAGAUAUUCGCAGGAACACCAGUGGCGAAGGCGGCUUACUGGUCCAUUACUGACGCUGAGGUGCGAAAGCGUGGGGAGCAAACAGG